GUAACAGAGCUAGCUUGCUACACGCUGACGAGCGGCGGACGGGUGAGUAAUGCAUAGGAAUCUGCCCGAUAGUGGGGGAUAACCUGGGGAAACCCAGGCUAAUACCGCAUACGUCCUACGGGAGAAAGGGGGCUCCGGCUCCCGCUAUUGGAUGAGCCUAUGUCGGAUUAGCUAGUUGGUGAGGUAAUGGCUCACCAAGGCAACGAUCCGUAGCUGGUCUGAGAGGAUGAUCAGCCACAUCGGGACUGAGACACGGCCCGAACUCCUACGGGAGGCAGCAGUGGGGAAUAUUGGACAAUGGGGGCAACCCUGAUCCAGCCAUGCCGCGUGUGUGAAGAAGGCCCUCGGGUUGUAAAGCACUUUCAGCGAGGAAGAACGCCUAUCGGUUAAUACCCGGUAGGAAAGACAUCACUCGCAGAAGAAGCACCGGCUAACUCCGUGCCAGCAGCCGCGGUAAUACGGAGGGUGCAAGCGUUAAUCGGAAUUACUGGGCGUAAAGCGCGCGUAGGUGGCUUGAUAAGCCGGUUGUGAAAGCCCCGGGCUCAACCUGGGAACGGCAUCCGGAACUGUCAGGCUAGAGUGCAGGAGAGGAAGGUAGAAUUCCCGGUGUAGCGGUGAAAUGCGUAGAGAUCGGGAGGAAUACCAGUGGCGAAGGCGGCCUUCUGGACUGACACUGACACUGAGGUGCGAAAGCGUGGGUAGCAAACAGGAUUAGAUACCCUGGUAGUCCACGCCGUAAACGAUGUCGACCAGCCGUUGGGUGCCUAGAGCACUUU
rnacentral:rRNA from 1 species